rnacentral:rRNA from 1 species
CUACGGGUGGCAGCAGUCGAGAAUCUUCCGCAAUGGGCGAAAGCCUGACGGAGCAAUGCCGCGUGCAGGAUGAAGGCCUUCGGGUCGUAAACUGCUGUCACCGGGGAUGAAUAAUGACAGUACCCGGGGAGGAAGUCACGGCUAACUACGUGCCAGCAGCCGCGGUAAUACGUAGGUGACAAGCGUUGUUCGGAUUUAUUGGGCGUAAAGGGUUCGUAGGAUGUUGAUUAAGAUUGGUGUGAAAUCCCAAGGCUCAACCUUGGAACUGCAUUGAUUACUCAUGAACUAGAGUGUCGUAGAGGAAAGCGGAAUUCCAGGUGUAGCGGUGGAAUGCGUAGAUAUCUGGAAGAACACCGACAGCGAAGGCAGCUUUCUGGGCGAUAACUGACUCUGAGGAACGAAAGCAUGGGGAGCAAACAGGAUUAGAUACCCGAGUAGUC